rnacentral:rRNA from 1 species
UACGUAGGGCGCAAGCGUUAUCCGGAAUUAUUGGGCGUAAAGAGCUCGUAGGCGGUUUGUCGCGUCUGCCGUGAAAGUCCGGGGCUCAACUCCGGAUCUGCGGUGGGUACGGGCAGACUAGAGUGAUGUAGGGGAGACUGGAAUUCCUGGUGUAGCGGUGAAAUGCGCAGAUAUCAGGAGGAACACCGGUGGCGAAGGCGGGUCCCUGGACAACUUCUGACACUGAGGCACGAAAGCUAGGGGAGCAAACAGG